UACGUAGGGGGCAAGCGUUAUCCGGAUUCACUGGGCGUAAAGGGAGCGCAGGCGGCACGGCAAGUCUGGUGUGAAAACCCGGGGCUCAACCCCGGGACUGCAUUGGAAACUGCCGGGCUGGAGUGUCGGAGGGGUAAGCGGAAUUCCUAGUGUAGCGGUGAAAUGCGUAGAUAUUAGGAGGAACACCGGUGGCGAAGGCGGCUUACUGGACGAUGACUGACGCUGAGGCUCGAAAGCGUGGGGAGCAAACAGG
rnacentral:rRNA from 1 species